rnacentral:rRNA from 1 species
UACGAAGGGUGCUAGCGUUGUUCGGAAUCAUUGGGCGUAAAGGGUGCGUAGGCGGUUUGGUAAGUCAGUUGUGAAAGCCCAGGGCUCAACCCUGGAACUGCAAUUGAAACUGCCCGACUAGAAUUUGGUGGGGGAUAAUAGAAUUCCUAGUGUAGGGGUGAAAUCCGUAGAUAUUAGGAGGAAUACCAGAGGCGAAGGCGAUUGUCUAUACCAAUAUUGACGCUGAGGCACGAAAGCGUGGGGAGCAAACAGG